GAUGAAGAACGUAGCGAAAUGCGAUAAGUAAUGCGAAUUGCAGAAUUCCGUGAGUCAUCGAAUCUUUGAACGCACAUUGCGCCCUCUGGUAUUCCGGAGGGCAUGCCUGUUCGAGCGUCAUUUCAACCCUCAAGCACAGCUUGGUGUUGGGACUCGCGUUAAUUCGCGUUCCCCAAAUUGAUUGGCGGUCACGUCGAGCUUCCAUAGCGUAGUAGUAAAACCCUCGUUACUGGUAAUCGUCGCGGCCACGCCGUUAAACCCCAACUUCUGAAUGUUGACCUCGGAUCAGGUAGGAAUACCCGCUGAACUUAAGCAUAUCAAUAAGCGGAGGA
rnacentral:misc_RNA from 1 species